ACGAUUCCUCUGUAUUUCUGUUGGGACGGAUUUGGGAAUGAUUGCUUCUAGGGUUAGGGUUCGUCGAAUUUCGCCCAAUUUGCAGCACUCUAUUUUUACGAUCCCUCUGUUUUACCUUUGUUACCUUUCUGCGAAUUGUAAGAGUUAUUAUCCGUCCGCUAGUAUAACUAGCGGAAUGUAUAUAUCCUGUAAUUUCUAAGGGGUAUAAGAGUCCA
rnacentral:lncRNA from 1 species